rnacentral:rRNA from 1 species
CCUACGGGGGGCUGCAGUAAGGAAUAUUGGUCAAUGGACGAAAGUCUGAACCAGCCAUCCCGCGUGCAGGAUGAAAGCCCUAUGGGUUGUAAACUGCUUUUAGCAGAGAAGAAAAGCUUUCAUUAAUGAGCGUCUGACGGUAUCUGCAGAAUAAGCACCGGCUAACUCCGUGCCAGCAGCCGCGGUACUACGGCGGGUGCGGGAGUUAUCCGGAAUUACUGGGGUUAAGGGGUGGUAUGAAGUCAUUUUUGAAAUCUUGUCGCUUAACGAUAAAAGUGCAAAUGAUACUGGUACUCUUGAAUUGGGUGGAGGUUAGCGGAAUGUGACAUGUAGCGGUGAAAUGCAUAGAUAUGUCAUGGAACACCAAUUGCGAAGGCAGCUAACUGGGCCUUGAUUGACGCUGAGGCACGAAAGCGUGGGUAGCGAACAGGAUUAGAUACCCCAGUAGUC